AGUGCCUAUUGUGUGCAGUUACAGUGCAGGGAUAACUUUGCAGUCCAGGUGUAAAUUCUGCUGCAAUGCCCAUCUCUGUAGGUCUGGGACAAUUUUUUUUUUUCCUGGAGUGGAAGCCAGGGCUGGCAAGCAUUGUGUGCUGUGUCCCUUCACUGCAUUCUAUCCCUAAGAGAGCAGCUCCUGUCACUCAGUCCUCACUAACCAAUGACAGCCUCCAGAUGUACCCACCAGUUAUAAUAAGGGAGGGCACUUCCGGUCCAUCGUGAUAGCAGCUUGGAGUCCAGGGACUGAGGGAGGAUCUCUUGGUUUUUGGGUGCUAGGCUGUGAUCCCGCUGCCUGGAGCUGUGAGAACUGUCUGAGCUUGGAAUCUAUGCCAUGGUUCGAACCCAACCACUACCCUAUGCUCCAAUGCAGCAGAUGGAGAGAAAUGUGGCAGCAGCAGCAGGCUCACAGGGGUUUGAUGAAGCCCUGAAGCUUUUCUCUGUGAUGAUAUGGAGCCUGAGCAAUGGAUGUCACCUGAUGUCAGUCUUCUAGAGCAGGCAGAUGCACUGAUCACACAG